rnacentral:rRNA from 1 species
UACGGGGGGAGCAAGCGUUGUUCGGAUUUACGUGGGCGUAAAGGGCGCGUAGGCGGUCGUGACAAGUCACUUGUGAAAUCUCCGGGCUUAACUCGGAACGGUCAAGUGAUACUGUCGGACUAGAGUACAGAAGGGGCAACUGGAAUUCUCGGUGUAGCGGUGAAAUGCGUAGAUAUCGAGAGGAACACCUGCGGCGAAGGCGGGUUGCUGGGCUGAUACUGACGCUGAGGCGCGAAAGCCAGGGGAGCGAACGGG